rnacentral:rRNA from 1 species
GACGAACGCUGGCGGUGUGCUUAACACAUGCAAGUCGAACGGUAAGGCCCUUCGGGGUACACGAGUGGCGAACGGGUGAGUAACACGUGGGUGAUCUGCCCUGCACUUCGGGAUAAGCCUGGGAAACUGGGUCUAAUACCGGAUAGGACCCUGGGAUGCAUGUCCUGGGGUGGAAAGCUUUUGCGGUGUGGGAUGGGCCCGCGGCCUAUCAGCUUGUUGGUGGGGUGAUGGCCUACCAAGGCGACGACGGGUAGCCGGCCUGAGAGGGAGACCGGCCACACUGGGACUGGGAUACGGCCCAGACUCCUACGGGAGGCAGCAGUGGGGAAUAUUGCACAAUGGGCGCAAGCCUGGUGCAGCGACGCCGCGUGAGGGAUGACGGCCUUCGGGUUGUAAACCUCUUUCAGCACCGACGAAGCGCAAGUGACGGUAGGUGCAGAAGAAGGACCGGCCAACUACGUGCCAGCAGCCGCCGCGG